rnacentral:rRNA from 1 species
UACGGAGGGGGUUAGCGUUGUUCGGAAUGACUGGGCGUAAAGCGCGCGUAGGCGGAUCAGGAAGUUGGGGGUGAAAUCCCGGGGCUCAACCCCGGAAUGGCCUUCAAAACUCCUGGUCCUGAGUUCGAGAGAGGUGAGUGGAAUUCCGAGUGUAGAGGUGAAAUUCGUAGAUAUUCGGAGGAACACCAGUGGCGAAGGCGGCUCACUGGCUCGACACUGACGCUGAGGUGCGAAAGCGUGGGGAGCAAACAGG